CUCGUAGAGCUGGAAAUAUGCUAUGAAACGGGGAUUUCCGAAUGGGGAAACCUAACUAUGGUAAUGCAUAGUUGCUUAUGUCUGAAUACAUAGGACAUAACGCGAGACACCUUGUGAACUGAAACAUCUUAGUAGCAAGAGGAAAAGAAAAUAAAUAAUGAUUUCUUCAGUAGCGGCGAGCGAACGAGAAAGAGCCCAAACCAUUUUAAAUGGGGUUAUAGGACAGACU
rnacentral:rRNA from 1 species